rnacentral:lncRNA from 1 species
AUAACGUGAGCUGCUCAGAAUGUGUUGAUAAUCCUUUGUACUGCAGCUUUUUGAAAGAUAAAACUUAAGCCAUCGAGAACUACAAGAGUUUUGCUACUUUUCUCAAGAACAUUGAUGCCCUGAAUUUAGCAGGCACUAUCGACAGAUCAGUUGUAAAAUGUUGUGAUGGGCUACUUUCUGCACACACCACGGAGUGACUUGACACAAUGCUGGCCAAACAAGAUGCAUCUACAAACAAAAUGGAGUUAAAUGGUUCCAAAUCUGUCAUGAAGCGUUCAUCCAUGUAUACAGCACAUGGCCUCACGUGAAUGUAACGGCUGUCUUCGUCGUCCUCAGAUGAAGGGGAAGAGAUAUCAGACCAAAAUGCAGCGUGGACCUGAGCCCUAGGACCAUGCAUCAGGACUACCUGGCCUAAUG